rnacentral:rRNA from 1 species
AGUGAACGCUGGCGGUAGGCCUAACACAUGCAAGUCGAACGGCAGCACAGUAAGAGCUUGCUCUUACGGGUGGCGAGUGGCGGACGGGCGAGGAAUACAUCGGAAUCUACUUUUUCGUGGGGGAUAACGUAGGGAAACUUACGCUCAUACCGCAUACGACCUACGGGUGAAAGCAGGGGAUCUUCGGACCUUGCGCGAAUGAAUUAGCCGAUGUCGGAUUAGCUAGUUGGCGGGGUAAAGGCCCACCAAGGCGACGAUCCGUAGCUGGUCUGAGAGGAUGAUCAGCCACACUAGAACUGAGACACGGUCCAGACUCCUACGGGAGGCAGCAGUGGGGAAUAUUGGACAAUGGGCGCAAGCCUGAUCCAGCCAUACCGCGUGGGUGAAGAAGGCCUUCGGGUUGUAAAGCCCUUUUGUUGGUAAAGAAAAGCAGCAGGUUAAUACCCCGCUGUUCUGACGGUACCCAAAGAAUAAGCACCGGCUAACUUCGUG